AUAACUGCGAGUGAAGCGGGAAAAAGCUCAAAUUUUAAAAUCUGGCAGUUUCACUGUYCCGAGUUGUAAUCUGGAGAAGCAUUUUCUGUGUUGGACCGUGUACAAGUCUCUUGGAAUAGAGCGUCAUAGAGGGUGAGAAUCCCGUCCAUGACACGGACUACCAAUGCUCUGUGAUAUGCUCUCGAAGAGUCGAGUUGUUUGGGAAUGCAGCUCAAAUUGGGUGGUAAAUUCCAUCUAAAGCUAAAUAUUGGCGAGAGWCCGAUAGCGAACAAGUACCGUGAGGGAAAGAUGAAAAGCACUUUGGAAAGAGAGUUAAACAGUACGUGAAAUUGUUGAAAGGGAAACGCUUGAAGUCAGUCGCGUUGUCUGAGACUCAGCCUUGCUCUGCUUGGUGUAUUUCUCAGUUAACGGGUCAACAUCAAUUUUGGCUGGUGGAUAAAGGUAGAGGAAAUGUGGCAUCCUCCGGGGUGUGUUAUAGUCCUCUAUUGUAUACACUGACUGGGAUUGAGGAACGCAGCACGCCUUUUAGGCCGGGGGUUCGCCUCA
rnacentral:rRNA from 1 species